rnacentral:rRNA from 1 species
UGGUGACUAUAGCAAGGAGGUCACACCUGUUCCCAUGCCGAACACAGAAGUUAAGCUCCUUAGCGUCGAUGGUAGUCGAACUUACGCUCUUUUUUUUAUGUCUAAAACGUCAAAAUA